AUAGGUUAGGGUAUGAUUUAGGUUGGAUUGGGUGUGAUUGUAAUUAAGGAAGUUAUUCACCCUUGUAUAGCUGGGAGGUGUUUACAAUGCCUAUGAUGAAACAUAUGGAUGUAGCUUAUAUUAUAUCAUCAAAUACUUAUUUAUGAAGAUUUUACUAUGAUAUUUUUUUAUAAUAUUUUAUUAUACAAAAUAUUUUAGAUAUUUUAUUUUCUUUCUCUUUCU
rnacentral:lncRNA from 1 species